rnacentral:lncRNA from 1 species
AUAUUAAGAUCAAAGCACUCGUUUCUCCUAUUGUUCUCAAGUGAUGACUUCCCUCUCUGUUCUGUGACCUUUCUGGUAUCGGACUGUUCUCUUCUCUUCUAACAUUAGGAUCGAGGCACUCGUCGGAUCUAGUCGUCAUUUGUGGGCCUUCUCCUUCUUCUCGUCACCAGCAUCUGCUCUUCCCCGACAACUCGCUUCCUCUCCGAC